rnacentral:rRNA from 1 species
UACGUAGGUGGCGAGCGUUGUCCGGAAUUAUUGGGCGUAAAGGGAGCGCAGGCGGGAAGGUAAGUCUAUCUUAAAAGUGCGGGGCUCAACCCCGUGAGGGGAUGGAAACUAUCUUUCUUGAGUGCAGGAGAGGAAAGCGGAAUUCCUAGUGUAGCGGUGAAAUGCGUAGAUAUUAGGAGGAACACCAGUGGCGAAGGCGGCUUUCUGGACUGUAACUGACGCUGAGGCUCGAAAGCGUGGGGAGCGAACAGG